rnacentral:rRNA from 1 species
AUUGAACGCUGGCGGCAUGCCUUACACAUGCAAGUCGAACGGCAGCACGGGUGCUUGCACCUGGUGGCGAGUGGCGAUCGGGUGAGUAAUACAUCGGAACAUGUCCUGUAGUGGGGGAUAGCCCGGCGAAAGCCGGAUUAAUACCGCAUACGAUCUACGGAUGAAAGCGGGGGACCUUCGGGCCUCGCGCUAUAGGGUUGGCCGAUGGCUGAUUAGCUAGUUGGUGGGGUAAAGGCCUACCAAGGCGACGAUCAGUAGCUGGUCUGAGAGGACGACCAGCCACACUGGGACUGAGACACGGCCCAGACUCCUACGGGAGGCAGCAGUGGGGAAUUUUGGACAAUGGGCGAAAGCCUGAUCCAGCAAUGCCGCGUGUGUGAAGAAGGCCUUCGGGUUGUAAAGCACUUUUGUCCGGAAAGAAAUCCUUGGCCCUAAUACGGUCGGGGGAUGACGGUACCGGAAGAAUAAGCACCGGCUAACUACGUG